rnacentral:rRNA from 1 species
AUUAGAGUUUGAUCAUGGCUCAGAACGAACGCUGGCGGCAGGCCUAACACAUGCAAGUCGAGCGGGCACCUUCGGGCGUCAGCGGCGGACGGGUGAGUAACGCGUGGGAACGUGCCCCUUGGUACGGAAUAGCUCCGGGAAACUGGUGGUAAUACCGUAUGAGCUCUUCGGAGGAAAGAUUUAUCGCCAAGGGAUCGGCCCGCGUUGGAUUAGGUAGUUGGUGGGGUAAUGGCCUACCAAGCCGACGAUCCAUAGCUGGUUUGAGAGGAUGAUCAGCCACACUGGGACUGAGACACGGCCCAGACUCCUACGGGAGGCAGCAGUGGGGAAUCUUAGACAAUGGGGGCAACCCUGAUCUAGCCAUGCCGCGUGAGUGAUGAAGGCCUUCGGGUUGUAAAGCUCUUUCAGUGGGGAAGAUAAUGACGGUACCCACAGAAGAAGCCCCGGCUAACUCCGUGCCAGCAGCCGCGGUAAUAAU